UACAGAGGUCUCAAGCGUUGUUCGGAUUCAUUGGGCGUAAAGGGUGCGUAGGUGGCGCCGUAAGUCAGGUGUGAAAUCUCGGGCUUAACUCCGAAACUGCAUUUGAUACUGCGGUGCUUGAGGACUGGAGAGGAGACUGGAAUUUACGGUGUAGCAGUGAAAUGCGUAGAGAUCGUAAGGAAGACCAGUGGCGAAGGCGG
rnacentral:rRNA from 1 species